AUCACCUGGGGAUCUUGUUCAUAUACAGAUUCUGAUAUAGGAGGUCUUGCGUGGGGCCUGAGGUUCUGCAUUUCUAACAAGCCUCCAGGUGAUGCUGA
rnacentral:pre_miRNA from 1 species